rnacentral:rRNA from 1 species
GAUGAACGCUGGCGGCGUGCCUAAUACAUGCAAGUCGAGCGAACAGACGAGGAGCUUGCUCCUCUGACGUUAGCGGCGGACGGGUGAGUAACACGUGGAUAACCUACCUAUAAGACUGGGAUAACUUCGGGAAACCGGAGCUAAUACCGGAUAAUAUAUUGAACCGCAUGGUUCAAUAGUGAAAGACGGUUUUGCUGUCACUUAUAGAUGGAUCCGCGCCGCAUUAGCUAGUUGGUAAGGUAACGGCUUACCAAGGCAACGAUGCGUAGCCGACCUGAGAGGGUGAUCAGCCACACUGGAACUGAGACACGGUCCAGACUCCUACGGGAGGCAGCAGUAGGGAAUCUUCCGCAAUGGGCGAAAGCUUGACGGAGCAACGCCGCGUGAGUGAUGAAGGUCUUCGGAUCGUAAAACUCUGUUAUUAGGGAAGAACAAAUGUGUAAGUAACUAUGCACGUCUUGACGGUACCUAAUCAGAAAGCCACGGCUAACUACGUG